UACGGGGGGAGCAAGCGUUGUUCGGAUUUACUGGGCGUAAAGGGCGCGUAGGCGGCCUCCGCAAGUCAGUUGUGAAAUCUCCGAGCUUAACUCGGAAAGGUCAACUGAUACUGCGGGGCUAGAGUGCGGAAGGGGCAACUGGAAUUCUUGGUGUAGCGGUGAAAUGCGUAGAUAUCAAGAGGAACACCUGCGGCGAAGGCGGGUUGCUGGGCCGACACUGACGCUGAGGCGCGAAAGCGUAGGGAGCGAACGGG
rnacentral:rRNA from 1 species